CCCAGCCUGCGGCGGAAUGUUGCGUUAAGGGAAAGGUCGUUUCAAAGCCCUGCGCAGCGUGUUCCUAAAUACGUCUUGAAUAUUCACGGUCUCCUAACGGAGACUACGGUUCCACAGAGGGUGACAGACCCGUGUGGCCACGUGUAUAUGUGCAUGGGUUCGGCUUCUAUUCCCGGAGAGUCGCGUUGCUUGAGCAUGCAGCGCUAAGCAGGUCGUAAACUCGACCUAAGACUAAAUAUAUCCACAGAACCGAUAGUAAACAAGUACCGUGAGGGAAAGUUGAAAAGCACUCUGAAGAGAGAGUCAAAAGACCGUGAAACCGCUUAGAGUAUAAGCCAAUGGUAAUUCGGAAGGCAAGAGCAGUCCUCAUGCCUUGUCUGGAAGGGUAUCGUGUGUGAAAAAUAUACGGGGGGUGUGGAACAAAGUGGCAUUGAGUUGAUAUCACACCUUUGGUUAAGUUGCGGGUCUCUGACAGUGGUAACAGGGAACGUUGUAAUGCACAACUGAACCGAGGCUGGACUUUAGCAACUGCCCCCUUAUGUGAACACUAACGAGUUGCUAAAACUGCCCACCACAACUCUUUACGAGGUCACCCUCACUCAUGAAGUUGCGUUGCUGGGGCGUCCCUUGGCCGCAAUUGUGUACGUGUCAAGGGCGACCAGCUUCCUCAUGCGUUCCAAGUGAUGCGGUAUGAUCCUCUGUGAAAGGUUGCUUUCUGGCGCAUCCAAGAUAUUACGUUUGCGUUCUAGCCUGGGAGACCUCCCAUGAGAUGUCAGGCUGAGAGUCCCUGUUAGUCUCGACUGUUGAGGAUGAUUGGUGAAUUAUUCCGGAGCCAUUGGUCACGUCUCGAAACACGGGCCAAGGAGAAUAGCAUGUGCGCAAGUCUAAGGGACUCACAAAUCCCGGUGGCGAAGUGAAAGCAAGUGGUGUGUCCGUUGUCAGCUUCGGUUGACGGCGGGCAGCCUGCGUGUUACGUAAUUCCUAUUUGGAUGAAUGCGUCUCCGGCUUAUACCGGGCUAAUCCGGCGCAAUCAAGUCUGAUGACGAUGCGUUGGCGUAAGCCCCAGGCUCUCAAUACGGCACGUACGC
rnacentral:rRNA from 1 species